rnacentral:lncRNA from 1 species
CCUCAGUCGCCUCCGAGGCGCUCCGAGCGGCCGCCGCCUCGGGCUGAAGGCCCGGGCUCCGCCAGCGGACGCGGCUCCCGCUCGGACUCCGGCUCAGCGCUCCCCUCCGCCGCCGCCGCAGCGCUACGUGGCCGCCCGCAGCCAGUCUCGCGACUCCGCCGCGCGCACGCGCGGGCACGCGCCGAGGAGGGCCUGUGUGAUCUGAGAGGGAGUGAUGCGACAAGACAUGGAUUUCACUGAUAGAACUCGCAGCUUGGGGCAGGUAUGGGGCUUGUGAAGGGCUGUGGGGUGGGAUCAGUGUCGGGGGGGGGGGGAACGGACGCUUAAGCAGCAGUCCUACCUUCCCCGGGAAGAGGCAGUGCCUCCUCCAUAGCCCUGAAAACCACUUCUGAGUGCUGUGUAGGAGGGAAGAGCACUGCUGUGGUUUAGGUUUGGCGGCAGCAAAAAGAUGAGCAAGAGUAGCAGAAACAGGAAAAGGGGGCAGGGCACAGCCUUUCUGGUGGUGUUAGCCGCAUCCCAGGACUUGAGGAAUUUUGUGCUGUGUAGCUUUGACUCCCUCCUGCCUGAUUUCAGACACGUAUCCCUUCCAUAGCCCCCUUUUAAAAUCAUUUAGUCCCUUCCUUUACCUGUGGUUUGUUAACUUGUUUGCUGUAGAUAGUCUCCAAAUGGUGUAGGAAUCUGAGUUUUUUGGGGGGGAAAAAAGAAGUUUUUUUGCCCACUGAAAUACUACCUGCUGGAAUAUUUGGCCUACUUUUUAUUACUGCACAUAAAACCCAGAUUUGAGCUCCCUGUGGAGAGCAGGGACUGGGGCUCUCAAAGUUCACAAUCAAAUAAAAGGGACAGCAUAUGCUUGGGAAGCACCAUGGUAAGAUCAGAACGCUGUUUAUAGAAUCAUAGAUUGGCUUGGGUUGGAAAGGACCUUAAAGAUUAUCUGGUUCCAACUGCUUGCCAGCUUUCUUCUUUGCCCCAGCAACUCCUGCUGUGUGGGCAUGGGAAAGGAGUAAAGCACAACAUACUUUGCUUAGGCCAGCCCUGUUAGAGGUAUUACUGGCAGACUCCGUUCAGAGCAGGCCCCAGGCUGUUCUCAUCUCUGUGGGGACUGUGUAUAGCUGGAGGGGAGAGGGUAGCUAGCAGAGACCCAGGUUUUGAGAGCAUGUUGUUGCCCCUGCUCAGCUCCGUGCCCUUGUGCAAUGCAGCUCUUCAAAGAAAAAAAUGAGAGAGGCCAUGUAAUUAAAUUUCAAACCUCGAAAAAGGCAGGAAGAAAAGCUCUGGAGACUUUUUUAUUGACACAUGAAUGAACAAGAAAGCAGUGGGUCAUAGAGGUGCUAUUUCAAAUGUGAAAUUCUGUCAGAGGGAUAACUGUGUCCACUGCUUGCCAGUGUCCCAUUUGGCUCCAAAGGAGAGCAGGUGAGGAGUAAAGCCACCAACUAUUUCCAUUUCUGUAUAAAUGCACAGCCACUGCUAAUAUCUGAUCAUGGGACAAGAGCAGGCAAGUGCCUUGGUGAGUUUUUUCUCCAGUGUGUGGGGAGAGCACUUAGUGUCCCAGUUUGUUUUGCUGUUCCCCUUCUUCUCUGAUGCUGUGUCUGUGGUUUUUUAGCCUGGCUUCCUUACCCUGAACCCGUAGCAUGAGGUCCCCUUACCUUAAAAUAGAUCCUGGAGGAUUGCAGUGGCUUUUCUUGUAAAAGAUGCUUUUUGUCUUCAGUUUCAGAUAGUGAUUUUCCUUCCCCCAAGUACAAGUUGUACAGAGGUUAAAAGGAAAUGUUAAGUCCCUCUUCCUCAGAAGACACCUAGGACUCUGCAGAGGAAGGGCUUAAAAAGAUAAGGGACCGAGUGCAAGUAUUCUUGGACUGUCAAACUUCCAACACGACAACAAAGCACUUAUCCUUUUCUCUCUGCUUUGUCACUUCUGCAUCUGCAUUGGGGAAGAGGCUGCUGCAGAGGAGACUGACUCUUCUAAGCCUUGCUGUGUGAUUUGGCUCCUGAAUGCCCAGGGCACCCUGCAGUUGCACACUUUCUUCCCUAGCUGUUUUAUUAAUGGAAGUUGACAUCCUCAUGCUGGCUCCCAGGGAGGGAUCCGUCUGAGUCAUUGGCUGUAACACAGCCCUUUUCCCACAAAGGGCUCCCUUCAGCUAUUUACAUCCCUCUCUUUGAUCUAACUUUUGACAUGAAAAGACAUGUCAGCCAGGUAGAGGGAAACAAACAAAAUGCAGGAACAGUCCCACAUCUCUGCUUGCACAUGAUCCGCUCCCUAGCACACGCCUGCCUUACAGCCACAGAUCCUUAUCAGCUCUCUGAUUUCCUUGCUAUCAUCUCUGUCUUCCCUUCGUCCUGUUGUUUAACUUCUAGAGGCAAAUAUGUGCAUCUUGUUCACUGCUCAGUAAGAUGCUGUGGCACAAUUGCCUACUCUCUCUGGUAUUUCCCUUCUAUCUAUAGUAUAACUAGUAUGGGAAAUGCCCUCACACAUCCUCCUCACUGCAUGCAGUGCCAGGAACAGGUGAUACAGAUCUUCAUUUCCUGCCUUAAACUGCUGCAGUAUUUUAGCAAGCAGCUGUGUGCAGCUCACUCCAUAAGUAGCAGCAAUGCAACUGUAGGUGAAUUCCUUUGUGGAAACCAGAUCUUUCAUUGCUAACUAGCUUAGGAUCUUUCAGAGUUUAAAAAUAAAAAUAAAAAAAAUAAGAAGACUAAAUAUUGUGCAAAUUCAAAUUAGAUGCACCAGAACACAGUAUCACCCACCUGUGUUUUUUUUCUAUAGGAAUGGGUGUUCUAGAAUUGCUGAGAAAGCAAAUCUAAUGGAUAAGGAUGUUGUUGAGAUGCAGCUAACUCUUUGGAGAGAUGACUGUUAGUGCCAGGUACAGAAUAAUGUGGGAAGGGGAAAAAUCAAACAGAGGUUAGUUCCUACCUUUAUCAGCAGUUAAUUUUCUUGUGGCGUGGGCCAGCUUGUUGGGUUUACACAGCUUGGUGCUUUUGGGCAAUGUCUGAGCUGAUUGGUCUGGUUAUUUUAUGUCUUCCAGGUAGUAAACCAGUGCUGGAGUGCUCUGGUAAGGGGGAUGUCUGCCAGGUCCAGGGCCUGCAGUCCCAUUUAAGCUGUGUUGCUGUGGAAUGUGGCUCCGUUGGUGAGGGUUCUCUACUUUACCCAAGCAGCGAUAGCUCUCUGCUUCACCUGGACUUGUGCUAUGAUGAUUUCUUGGGAAACUCUCAGCAGCCAGUGAAACAGCCCUCCUAGUGUUCUUUCUUCCUACAGCCAGCAGGGGAGGUGGGCUGCCUUCCUUCAGUCUUACUGUUACCACAGGUGAAUCUUCAUGGCUUGUGCUGUUUCAGGGCUGGGACCCAGCAUAGCAGGGUGCUGUUUUACUGAGGCCUCCACAUCGUAACAGUUCUGCUUUGGGAACAGCCUGUACUCAGUGUUGAGGGCCUGGUGAGAAUGCAGUUGCAAGUGGGACUCUUUCUCCUUCCCCAAAGGGGAAACGCCCUCGGGGUUAGAUGUUACUCAAGGAUGCUGCAGUGAGCAGGCCCUGAGUGAGAAGUGAAACUUAAGCAUGGACAGGAUCAUUGAUGUCUUGCUGCAACCCAGCCAGUUGCUUUUUGGACUAAUACUUUAGGUAUUGUGCUAUGUCUUGCAGGAUUCAGGAUCCUCUCAAGCAAUGGGAAAGGAAGCAAAAGGGAAACAAAGGGCUUUUCCUGCCAGCUCUUGUCACAGGAAGCCUUAUGCUUGGAAGGAACCACCCCCUUGAGUGUUGGGCUUUGAGACUGUAUCAGCACAGAAAAGAUCAGACAGAGGGAAUUCCUGUUCGCACUCCCCCUUCUCUUUUGCUAUCUUCGUGUAAGGCCACAAUUAAAGAUUAUCUGCUUCCAAAUAGCGUGGAGUUAACACCCACCAGCAUCUCUCUUCAUACCUUUGGUUAGACCUUGAGAGCAGCAGGAUGCAGGCAGAGUGGCCAUACAGAGAUUGAGUAAACUCCUGACUCCACACAGGACUACCUGAAAAUUAAACCAUAUGUCUAAGCUUGUUGUCCAGACGCUUCUUGAACUCAGGCAGGCUUGGUGCUGUGACUGCUACAUAAGCUUUAACACUUGUGAUGAAGUAAUUGUUAAGUGUGAGCAUUACCUUACCAGGCUAUGGAGACACUUAUGUUCUUUUGUUAAGAACACCUCUACUCUGAUCAGCAUCAACUUCCUACCAGAGCUAUAUGAGUACAGGUCCAUUAUAUGUUCCCUCGUGAGGAACACAAUGGCUAAACUGUGGUCCUUUCCACUCACAUCCAAUAUUCUAGCCCAGCCUCUUAUGUAAAAACACUUCUAUGUGUUUGAAAGUCACCCAUUAAGAGCCAUGUUUGAGAGGAAGCAAUUGCUUCAAUAGAGCAAUAUUUACUAGCUUUGCAGAAGGAGCACAGUGAGACUCACCCCAAUGAAAGUCAUGUUGUGUUAAUGUCUCUGGAGUGGGCUUACCUUGUUCAGGCUUAACCUUUGCUUCCUUCCUGUCCUUGCAUCUGCUGUGUAUUUUUAACCUACUGCUUCAGAGGCAUCCUGCACACAUUCUUCCCUAGCCGCCUCCUGCCCUUCCUGCCUCACUUCAUCUACCAGCUUGGGGGACAGGAGCAUGCCUUGCAGCUGGCAUCUCACACUGUUCACUUUCUGCACUGCCCUCCAGCAGCCAGGAUGCACUAUCCCAGGCUUAGGCACAGUUAUGGCCUGUCAGAGAUCAGGGAUAACUCACUGCUGGUUUCUGAUGCGGUCCAGAUCAGCAUUGUAUGCAGAUCUAGCGUAGGGAAUCUCAAAUGCUGUUUUCACAGCAGCAAUAGGGUUAAGCCUCAGAAGGGAUCCUCUGCUCCCUGUGCUGCCUAGUGUCAUGCAAGGAAUAAUUAAAGCAGCUGAGCUCCAGCCUGGCGUAGGCAAUUAUUGACUUCCUACCUACUUCCACAAGUGCUUCCCCCCAUUCUCUGCAUUUUGGGACAGGCUUUUUCUACUUGAUCCACAGUACAAAAGAAGCAAUAAGGAAACUCCUCCCUAUUCCUUAUUCUAACCACUUCAGAUGCUGCCAGUUUGCUGCAGGGUACAAAUUAUCAUAAACUCAGGGAACUCCCUUACCUAGAGAGGUUUCAGCAGUUUUGGUAUAUUAGCAACUAUUGGGGUAGAUGCCCAUUCCUCUUCAACAACCAUUCUGCAAAGUACAGCUGCUCCAGAGCACCUGUCCGUGUGGUUUCUUUUGCUCCCUUCUCAACUCAGGUAGGCUGGUUAUCUUUUAAAUAGGAAGAGAGAGGGUGAACACAGAGGAAAUCAAACAGUUUCCUGUUUGUUUAUCACGAACAAAAGCUUGUUUGGCUGGUCUGUGUGUUGCUAGCGGGCUAGCCCAGCUGCUGCGGUUAGUGCAAAGCUGAGUUCUUCCACUAGCAUGAAAGGAAGAAGUAGUAAAGCCGAGUCUCCAGGGGGAAGGGAGAGAAGAAUCUCCCCCCACACACUUCUUUGGAAGUUUGAAGACAAGGCAGAACAGAGUGGGCUGGGAGAUUUCACCAUGGAUUGUAAGGCUUUGAUGUGUGAAGGUAGCAACCAAAUGCUACAACAGGAGGUUGCAUUCCUCCUCCUACUAGGCCCUGCAACAACCCCAGCAGGUCUCUCAUAUUGCUCACAAACAGCAGACCUUACCCAAAGCUAUCAGUCCCCAUAGAUUAGUUUUUGGGCUGCUUUCAGAUCAUUAUCAGUGAUGAGUCUGUGCUGCCAUUACUGUAAUUGCUAUGGUGCCAAGUAACUAUGAGACUUCAGGCUGAAAAAAUUGCCAGUCUUGUACCAACACUAGGGUCUUUCAGCACAGCCUGGCACAGGGAAUAAAAAUUUUUACCUGCUUUCCAGAGCAGCACUGCCUGUUAGACAGCUUUUAUACCAGCUUUUUUUCCUCCUUUGCCUGGGCAGUGUGCUAUAGUGUGUGUCCUUCUCCAAGUCUGCUCUGUGCAUCCUCUGCCCAGGCCAGGGGGACAUCCUCUCCGAGCCGGCUGAGACACAGCUUGGUCCCUACCACCCUCCACGUGCACAUAGCAGAAUAGCUGCUGCCACCAUCUGGUGGGAGAGCAGAGCAGCAUAGCUGCCGACUCCAUCCCCUCUUCAGUUUGCAUUCGUUUUGCUUUCUGAAAAAGGUAACCUCACGUGCCCUUCUGAGAACUCUAUUUUAGAGACCGACUGUCACAUCCACUGACCUUGGUGAAGGAACCAAAGCUACACAACAGAAGUGGCAGGGAAUAAAUCAGGAUGCAACAAAGGAGAUGCACAGCAUGCAUGUAAGAAGUUCUUCCUGCAAAAGUAUCUUGUCCUCCAUGCCUGAAAUCCACCCACCGCAUUAAGUGAAUCACUGCUUUGUCACCCCCAGACACAAUCCACUGUCUCUCCAGCUGGCACUGGCAUGAUUCACAAAUAGCAAAGCCACUACACAGCCAAGGUGUCUUCUUGCUCUUAGCUAACACCUGAGAAAACACUGGCUUGACUGAAGAGCCAGUCCUCAGCAUCUGUUCCACAGUCCAAGGACCUGCAACUUUGUAACAGCCCACAUUCAGUCAGUCUAAAGGCACUGAACAUUGCAGCAACACCUGAUACAAGCACUGUGGUGUUCUGAGUGUCACUGGGCUACUUAUUUGAGCCCGGAAACAAACAGAAGAAAACACUCCUUUACUCAAGAUUCCUGAAAAGUUGGUAUCUUCAACCUAGCUUAAUUAAUGGUUGGUGAAGCCACUACACUGACAAUACAUGGGAGGCACACAGGUCUGUUCUGAAGCAUGUUCAGUUUUAUUUAAGAAUCCUACAUCAGUUGAAUUUUCAUUUUCGCUGCUUUACUGAAUCAGGAAAAUGCAAAGAUUUUUCUGCAAAGAGCUGAUCUGGCAGGUAAAGGUGAUCAGGUUAGCUGUGGCUGCAGAGCCAGGUUCACUGUGGCAACUGGAGGAGUACAGACUGUCCAGAGGGCAAGUAGGUGAUGUUGCGAGACCUUGAGAGCUGGUAAGCAAUAUCUUCAGCUGCCUCCAGCUUGCGUAGCUCAAUUAAGCCAUCACCUGCAGUGGCUAGUGAGUUGGCAAUCAGCUCAGCUGCUUUGGAGUCUCCCUCAGCUGAGAUGACAGCUGCUUUCUUCUGCUGCUCAGCCUGCAAGGGAACAGGUGAGAAGAAAAAUGAGCAGAAAAGAAAAGAGAAGGAAGAUACUACUGUCAAGUUUAAAGUAUAAAUUUCCCCUUCACCACCCCUUACUGUUCUUUCCUCCAGAAGACUUAAGAGAGCUAAAACAGAAGGUGUUUGUAUCUUAAAGCUGUACAUACAUACAUUAUUUUUUUGCCUACUGUGGAGAAGAGGUUUAAAAAUCAACUUGAAAUUGUCUUAUCUUAACCUCCUGAAACAGCAACUCACCUAAGGGCACUCUUGGUGGAUAACUAUCUAAAGAUUUGAGAACUGUGAACCAUAUUAGCAUUGUGAUUCUGAGUGACACCAGGUGAAUGAAACAUUCACCAUGAGAUGGAAUGACAGAGAUAUCAGGAACUGUUUCCAAACAAAAGUUUCUCAGAAGGAUAAAGUACCUUUUCCACAAUGAACCUGGCUCGCUCUGCUUCUUGCUGGGCCACUUGCUUCAUUUCAACUGCUUCAGUGAAUUCCUUGCCAAAGGUCAGAUGGGUCUGCAGGGCAGAAAUCACAGUCCACAACAGCAUUUACAGCAACACUGCUAUCAACAUCACACCUCUAAGGCAGGAGGCAUCUUGCCUUUAUCAGAGAAGAUGGAAAGCCAGUAUCGCUAAGAAAAACACAGUGUAACAGAAACUAAGCCUAGCAAGCUUUCCCUCCUUUUUUAAAAGUCUCAAGGAAGACACCAUGAACACAAUUUCAAUCCAGCAAAUGGGUUAACACAAAGAUCUUGAGAGACAUACCAUGCCCUCCUACCAUUUCUUGCUUAGGGAUUAGAAGCCUGCAGUCUGCCAAGCAACCCUGUUCUCUUCAUGCUCAACUAUGCACUGUUGUGCCCUCCCUGACCUGUUCUGUACAUAUACAAACUAUUGGGAUGUUACAGGGGAAGUGUGAGUUUCCUUAAGUAAUGUAUUCAGAAAAAAGACUCAAAAAAUCACAAAGCCACAUUCCUGCAGACACUUCCUGUGUGUUCAAAGCCAGAUAAAAAUGCUUGUUUCCCUUUUCUCUAGGCAGGAUUUUUGAAGGAAAUCCCAGAAGAGAGAGAUGCAUAUGUAAGUCAGUCUGCAAAGAUUUAAUUUUACAAAGCUUCUAAGGAGGAAGGAGGGGAGUGCUCACUCCCUGGAUAGUCUUAGAAGACACUACGAGGUGAAAGCUGUAUACUUAUUAGGAAAAAAAAGAUGCUAUGUCUCAGGGUACUUGUGGAACAGCAGGCUUCUCUAUAGCAAUCUGCAGACUGAUCUAUCAUCCACAAAAUCAUUUGCUUCUCAUUUUAACUACACAAGCCCUUUAAUAAUGGAGACUGCUGAUAAGCUAGUGCUGUAAUGCUUUCAAGAACUUGCUCAAGGACAUAGGAGGCCAGUGACACGACCAGCUGCUUUGACCUGAACCGUAACCACUGCAUUAUGUGCAAUUGCAGACAGACGUGGUCCACAUACACAAGCUUUCACACCCCUUCUCUGAUCCUCUAUAAUUUUCUUCCCUACUGCUCUUAUUUGCACAGAGAGAAAAACUGAAGGAGAACUCUUACCAAGGAUACAUCAUCCAGAAUGAGGCCAAAAGUUGCUGCUCUCUCUGUGAGGUCUUCACUCACUUGCCUGGAGACCAGUUCUCUUUGAGUGAUCAACUCUCCAGCAUCAAAGCGAGCCUGAGCGAGAAGAAAGCUCUCAGAAUCUCUGCUUGUCACCCAACUCCAUGAAAGUAAAGCCAAGUAGUUAGAAUGACAGGGAAGCAAUUAGCAUGGCUACAGUUUUAACUCUUCUGGAUUGCCUGUUAGAGCCAAGGAGUAGAAAGAGAAGCCUCAUUUUGGAGCUUUACAUUUUCCACAAUUCAGCAGGUCCCAUCAGUGCUAAAACAAAAGAGAGGUGAGGGGUGGAGCCCAGCAGCAUUCAUGCUAUUCUUACCACAACAGACUUGAGGAUUUCAGUUGUGAUGGAGGGCAGGACGCGCUCAUCGUAGUCCUCUCCAAUACUUGUGAAAAUCCGGGGUAACUGCGCAGUCACCGGUCUGAACAGGAUACGCAGUGUGAUGUUCACAUUCUGUAGAUCUGCAGAAAUAGUCACAAAUUUAGCAGCAGACCUCAUGGGCAGGAGAUAUCUUGAUGUUGUCCUCUCCAGAGGAAAGCAAAAUAAGACAAAAUAAACAUUCAGACUUCUGAGAAAGGAAAGGUUUUUAGUAUUUCUUUCACCAAGGACUGCUUUUCACCUAGGGAUCCAAAUGCUCCUUACAGAUUAAAUUUAAGCUUCAGUUUGUCUGUAAUGCAGGGAAUUACUGACCCUACUGCAAACAAAGAAAUUUCUUAUUUAAGGGACAAAUAUCAAACUAUUCCUGACUGCUAAACUCUGCACACAUUGAAUCUCCACGUUCAGAAAAGAAAGCCCUCAUGCCUAUAGUACUUUUCAGCAGGUUAACGAUCAUAAAAGUCUUGAUUGUGGGAAAGCUUCUUCUCAUGCCUCUGUUCACCCAGCUGCAAAGCAGCAAAAGAGUGAGACACACACACAGCACAUCAGACUGCCCAGAUCUUGUAGAGCUGCCCAGUCCAAAACUCACCUUUGCUGCCAGUGAUGACAGGUAUGUUACGUGGGCGAGAACGGCAGUCAAAAAUGAUUGGUUUCUGUACCCAGGGGAUGAGGAAGUGAGUGCCUUCUCCUACCACUGUGUCCUGGACCCCACGGAAUCGAUCAAAGAUAACAGCUCUGUGUCCUGCAUCAACAUUGUAUAGAGCAGAAUUGACAACUCCACCUGCAACAGCCAGCCCCAGGCCGAACUUCCCAAUGCUUUCAAACACUUUGGCAGCCAUUUCACACGUGCAGUUCUAGCCCCUUUAAGAAGUACCUCCUCCACAUGAAUCCACGGCCGCCCACCC